GCCGACGUGGCGGAAUGGCAGACGCGCUGCGUUCAGGUCGCAGUCUCCUUACGGAGGUGUAGGUUCAACUCCUAUCGUCGGCACCA
rnacentral:tRNA from 1 species